UACGUAGGGGGCGAGCGUUGUCCGAAGUUACUGGGCGUAAAGCGCGCGUAGGCGGCUUCUUAAGUCUGAGGUGAAAUGUUCAACGCUUAACGUGAACAGUGCCUUGGAUACUGGGGAGCUUGAGUGUGGCAGAGGAUAGUGGAAUUCCUGGUGUAGCGGUGAAAUGCGUAGAUAUCAGGAGGAACACCGAUGGCGAAGGCAGCUAUCUGGGCUAACACUGACGCUGAGGUGCGAAAGCGUGUGGAGCAAACGGG
rnacentral:rRNA from 1 species